AGUGAACGCUGGCGGUAGGCCUAACACAUGCAAGUCGAACGGCAGCACAGUAAGAGCUUGCUCUUACGGGUGGCGAGUGGCGGACGGGUGAGGAAUACAUCGGAAUCUACUUUUUCGUGGGGGAUAACGUAGGGAAACUUACGCUAAUACCGCAUACGCCCUACGGGUGAAAGCAGGGGAUCUUCGGACCUUGCGCGAUUGAAUGAGCCGAUGUCGGAUUAGCUAGUUGGCGGGGUAAAGGCCCACCAAGGCGACGAUCCGUAGCUGGUCUGAGAGGAUGAUCAGCCACACUGGAACUGAGACACGGUCCAGACUCCUACGGGAGGCAGCAGUGGGGAAUAUUGGACAAUGGGCGCAAGCCUGAUCCAGCCAUACCGCGUGAGUGAAGAAGGCCUUCGGGUUGUAAAGCCCUUUUGUUGGGAAAGAAAAGCAGCAGGUUAAUACCCCGCUGUUCUGACGGUACCCAAAGAAUAAGCACCGGCUAACUUCGUG
rnacentral:rRNA from 1 species